CAACGCGACCCCAGGUCAUGCGGGGCUACCCGCUGAGUUU
rnacentral:rRNA from 1 species